AGUUCUAGAACUCUAAUUUCAGGUGAAGCUCAACUUGUUCACGGCUAGCAAUAGACCUGUCUCCGUUGAUUCGUCGUUUGCUUUUUCCUUGACCUUGGAGUUGAAGGAGCUUUCUUUGCAGACUGGUUCCGAGUUUAAGGCACACUCCUUGAAUCUGAAGCAACUGAUUAGGUGGUCAUUUGUUAGUCCAGCUACUUGCAUGAAUGUAUAAAUGACCGUCGGACCCACACUCCGGAACCCUCUCCUUACAAGUUCUUUACUUAUGACUUCGGCUUUUGGAGAUUUGACUGGUACUUGGCGCGGAUACCUGAACUGGCUGACUAUUGGCUUGUGGUUCACAAAGUUCCAAAUAAAUGUGUCAAAGGAACCAAACUCUUCAAUUAGCUGCAUUGCAAUUGAAGAAGACAAAAAAAUGUUAAAGACAGUGCAGAAAGCCUCAAGGUAGCAGAAAAGUUUGAAAGUUAAGUGUUAAAGGUUGAUUCCCUGAAGCUAGAACCUUUUGACAAUGACUAAGGAACCAUUCUGUGUAUAAGAAAAUAAAGAUGUACCAUAUUAUAGAGUAUGUA